AUUGAACGCUGGCGGCACGCUUUACACAUGCAAGUCGAACGGCAGCGCGGGCUUCGGCCUGGCGGCGAGUGGCGAACGGGUGAGUAAUGCAUCGGAACGUGCCCAGUAGUGGGGGAUAGCCCGGCGAAAGCCGGAUUAAUACCGCAUACGACCUGAGGGUGAAAGCGGGGGACCGAAAGGCCUCGCGCUAUUGGAGCGGCCGAUGUCGGAUUAGCUAGUUGGUGGGGUAAAGGCUUACCAAGGCGACGAUCCGUAGCUGGUCUGAGAGGACGACCAGCCACACUGGGACUGAGACACGGCCCAGACUCCUACGGGAGGCAGCAGUGGGGAAUUUUGGACAAUGGGGGCAACCCUGAUCCAGCCAUGCCGCGUGCGGGAAGAAGGCCUUCGGGUUGUAAACCGCUUUUGUUCGGGAAGAAAUCCUCUGGGCUAAUACCCCGGGGGGAUGACGGUACCGGAAGAAUAAGCACCGGCUAACUACGUG
rnacentral:rRNA from 1 species